rnacentral:rRNA from 1 species
AUUGAACGCUGGCGGCAUGCUUUACACAUGCAAGUCGAACGGCAGCGCGGGCUUCGGCCUGGCGGCGAGUGGCGAACGGGUGAGUAAUACAUCGGAACGUGCCCAGUAGUGGGGGAUAGCUCGGCGAAAGCCGGAUUAAUACCGCAUACGACCUGAGGGUGAAAGCGGGGGAUCUUCGGACCUCGCGCUAUUGGAGCGGCCGAUGGCAGAUUAGCUAGUUGGUGGGGUAAAGGCCUACCAAGGCGACGAUCUGUAGCUGGUCUGAGAGGACGACCAGCCACAUGGGGACUGAGACACGGCCCAGACUCCUACGGGAGGCAGCAGUGGGGAAUUUUGGACAAUGGGCGAAAGCCUGAUCCAGCAAUGCCGCGUGUGUGAUGAAGGCCUGCGGGUUGUAAAGCACUUUUGGCGGGAACGAAAAGGACUGUGCCAAUACCACGGUUCGAUGACGGUACCCGCAGAAUAAGCACCGGCUAACUACGU